UACGGAGGGUGCAAGCGUUAUCCGGAUUCACUGGGUUUAAAGGGUGCGUAGGUGGGCAGGUAAGUCAGUGGUGAAAUCUCCGGGCUUAACUCGGAAACUGCCAUUGAUACUAUCUGUCUUGAAUACCGUGGAGGUCAGCGGAAUAUGUCAUGUAGCGGUGAAAUGCUUAGAUAUGACUUAGAACACCUAUUGCGAAGGCAGCUGGCUACACGAAUAUUGACACUGAUGCACGAAAGCGUGGGGAUCAAACAGG
rnacentral:rRNA from 1 species